UAUUUUUAAGUGUAUUAACUUCAAUGUGGAGUUUAAUGUUGGCAAAUGCAUCAUUUUGGUUUGCCUUACAAAGAUUCUUCGAAUUAAUUUCGUUUUAUUUCAUGCAAGCUGCAAUUGUAUGGCGAUAUAUCCUACUUGGGUUGAUUAGAAAAAAACUUUUGAGUAUUAAUCAACAAAUUAAACAAGUGGAUGUGAAACGUGCUUAUUCUGACGACGUACAUAACCUCCUAGAUGAAUUAAUCAUGCAACAUAAUUUAAUUGUCAACUGUGUGGAUGUUUUUAACGAUUUAUUGGGACGUCAAACUUUAUUGGUGAAGAUUUAUGAAUCGUUACAAGUUCUAAUCACGCUUGAUAUGUAUUUGGGUGAUUAUUUUAAGAAGAAUUUUAAAGUGAGUGCAGGAGAAAAUCUUUUGGCUGUUAUAACCACAUAUGUUAUGGCACAAUGUAUUUUGACAUGCAAUAUCAGUGAACAUAUCAACCAGGCUGGAAAACAAACACGAAGUGAGGUGAAUAAUUUACUACUGGUUUGUAAUGACAAGGAUUUUGAGCAGAGGAAUAAAUUAAAGUUUUUAUUGAGACAAGCAAAGGAUAGAUGUCCUGAAUUGUCAGCGAUGGGUGUUUUUCCGAUUAAUCAUGCGUUGAUUUUUACGCUUAUUAAUAUGACUGUGUCGUAUGUUAUUGUUAUUAUACAAAUGCAUCAAAAAGCUUAGAAUUGAAUUGAAUUUAUAUGUAUAAAAAAGAGUGUUAGUUACACCAUGUAUAACUCAAGAACAGUUGAACAGAAUUUGAUGAUUUA